GCAAAAAAAUAUCUUACCCGGAGCCUCCAUCUACAUCCAUGCAUCCAGGAUCCCUAAGGUCAGCCUGAGGCCCUCAUGCCUUUCCUGAAGUAUGCUGGAGAAUUGCCUUGGGCCUGCACAUCUAUACAGCCCUUUGACAGAGCCUUCAACUUGUGGACUGGCUCCUUGACUUGAGCAGGGCCCUUGCCACUAGGGAUUUGCCUAGCAAUUCCAGGGCUUCAUCCCAGCCAUGACAUGGGUAUUGACUUCCUGGCUUGACAAGAGGUCUGCCUUGUUGCCACAACACUGCCUUCUUGGUUGGACCUGGCCAUGACCUCUGGGUCUGUCCUGCUCUAUUGCUGUGGUGGCUGAUCUUUGGUCGGCAAGGUCCUGCCCUGACAGACUUUCUCUGGCUCCUGACUCCUGUCCCUCAGAUGGGAGCUCUGUUCCCAUUGCUCCAUGGGAGCAUGGUCUCUGGCUUUGCAGGGCUUUGUUUCCACAGGCUUUCCUGAGGGACUGCUUCUUGUGUAGGUUCUGCUCUCCCCACAGCACUGGCCUUCUGCUCAGCCAUAGUGGCGCAGGCCUACAUGUACCCACCUUGUAUCACUGGCAACGCACAGCUGCACCUGUGUGCCCCCACAUCUCUCAUGCCAUGUUCCUUUCCCAGUUACUACCCUUGAUCCUGGUUUAUGUCUUCUGAAAUACCUCCCUGUUUUCCCAUGGCACUUAAAUUACUCUAAAGCAGGACUUUGCUGAACCCAGAUCUCUGCAAGAUGGGAGGACAGACCUGUCUAGGAGGGGAGGCUCCUGCCCAGCCUUGAGAAUGUACACAAACCUGACCAUGCCCUGGGCUUCUCCAGCUGCCUGGGGCACAAGGCCCCAGGCGAGACUCUGGACUACAUAGCCCUGCCCCACUGAGGUCACAGUGGGUCCAGGCUCCAGCUUCACACAGUCUUGCCCUGCUCAGCCAUGGCCCUUGCCCAUGCGUGGCCUAUCCCUGACCUCACUGAGGUGCCUGUUGCCCGGAGCUGGGGCUGCCCAGGUGUCCCCAUCUGCUUCUGAUUGAGCCUCCUGACUGGAAAAGAAACUGAAUACUCUCAUAAAGUGAUGAAAAAAGAUGGAGCUUUAAUACUUCAAAGAAUGACGAAACAUGGAAAAGUACAGGAAAUAAAGAUUUCUUGGGCCAUGAGAAGAGGAGUGUUCUUUCUCCUAAGGCAAACUUAACUAGAGUGCUGAGCUUUGGUGAGAUCUCUGCAGAGAUUUGGAUGUGAUGGGUGGGAUGUCCCAGAACAACAUCAGUCUGUUACCCAGUGAUGAAAGUGCUCUCCUGGCUCCUGGAAAUCUUCAAAGAGAUUCAGAUCUUUAAUCCAUGUUCUGUUGCACAAAUGCUCUGACCACUGAGCACUUGAAUAACCAUUGCCAUUAUAAAAUAAAUGGGUUUGAGCUUUGACAAAGACUGCACCUCCAAGAAGUCAAUCCAGCAUCCAAUAUCCUUGUGUCACCACUGUCAGAUACCAGCAAAAGGAGUGCUAAAGCAUAUAAUUCUUACUGUUAAGCAAAAUAAGACACUGAUAUUUACUACCCUCUGAGGUUGUUGAAAGAUAAAUUUUGUCUCCUUUUCAGUCUUGAAAAUGAACCCCCCUUCGUCCAAAUGCUGUUAAAAAAGUAUUUAACCUCCAGGAUGGACUUAGUAGGGUAAAAUGAUGGUAGAGAAUUCAUCUCUGUUAGGGACUUGAAGCAGUUCACAGUGAAAUAUCAUCUACAACUUCACAAUUUUACUCAACAGUUGCCACCACUGCUACAGUUUCAAAUUCAGGACAAAUAUAGAAAAAAAUCUACUUAUCAUCUCUUACCUUUUGAGCUUGUAUUGACUCAUUACAGACAUUUCUGAAUUAAAAAACCACUCUGAAGUAUCUUGGAAACUUCUUGUGUGAGUCCACCUAUUCAUCUGCUUCACCUCAAUAGAGAAAAUAUCAAACUCGAACAGAGGUACAAAAAAUUAUUAUGUGGUACAAAUUAUAGAUGUUUAAGCUGUGACAACAACAAGACAAAUACUGAUACUGCACUGAACUGUGGAGAAAGCAUGUCAUUGUAGUCUACAUAUUGAACUGACAUCUUAAGUUUUCUGGAACUGUGUGAGUCAUGGACAUAGCCUGAUGAGAAGAGAGCAGAUGCAGAAGAACUUAAAAGAGAAAAUUAUCUACAAGAAGUCUAUAUUAAUUGUGAAAAUGCUUGCUUAAUCUGAUUGAUUCUACUUUUGGUAAACUUCCAUAAUGCAGCAAUAAAA